GACGAACGCUGGCGGCGUGCUUAACACAUGCAAGUCGAACGGAAAGGCCCUGCUUUUGUGGGGUGCUCGAGUGGCGAACGGGUGAGUAACACGUGAGUAACCUGCCCUUGACUUUGGGAUAACUUCAGGAAACUGGGGCUAAUACCGGAUAGGAGCUCCUGCUGCAUGGUGGGGGUUGGAAAGUUUCGGCGGUUGGGGAUGGACUCGCGGCUUAUCAGCUUGUUGGUGGGGUAGUGGCGUACCAAGGCUUUGACGGGUAGCCGGCCUGAGAGGGUGACCGGCCACAAUGGGACUGCGAUACGGACCAGACUGCUACGGGAGGCAGCAGUGGGGAAUAUUGCACAAUGGGCGGAAGCCUGAUGCAGCAACGCCGCGUGCGGGAUGACGGCCUUCGGGUUGUAAACCGCUUUCGCCUGUGACGAAGCGUGAGUGACGGUAAUGGGUAAAGAAGCACCGGCUAACUACGUG
rnacentral:rRNA from 1 species